rnacentral:lncRNA from 1 species
CGUGAAGAACAAGAACGUGAACGUGAACGUGAACUGUCCACUUGACUUCUCUUCUCUCUCCUCUUUUUCGAGGUGUCGCGUUUCGUGCGGUGAUAUAAAAACGACAGUAGCCCUCAUCCUCGACCGAAUUCACAGCCGUUAUUUUCCUACACCAAAAUCUCAACUCUACUACUAAAGUCUAAAAACUUGAAUUCAGAAGACCAUCUAUGUUACACUAUGUAGUCGGAGUUUCUUUUCCUUAAUCUUUUCAGUAUAAAUUUCGUGAUUAGGCUCAUUUAACGUUUCAUAACAGGAAGUAAUAGAGUGAUUUUCGAAUCGAUUCUACUGAACUCCAAAUAUCAAGCACACAAACACAACGACUUGGUAUUCAAUAUUGUUCAAUGUUCAACUUUAACCUGUGACUACAAGUUGUAUAGAUGAUCUUGAAACAUUUGAAUGUCGAGUUAUUACAAGUUUCAAGUUUUUUAAAGUAAGGAGUCGAGAUUAGGGUCUGAGGAAGGACCACGAAUUCGACCGAGAGACGCGGGAAGAGAACGAGACGCGUACGCGCCGGCCGACGGCCAUAAACUUGACUCGAUGCUGCUCUCUUCUCGAAACCAACACCGACACCGACACACACUGACUCUGGUUACAGAAACUCGGUCCCGGCACAAAGAACGCGCGACAGUGUUGCCAACACACGAUCUUUCAAACGUCGCUGACCGUGCACAGCACCGUAUGCUUCCCAGGGACGUAAUGUUAGGUCCCAGAGCCCGGACCCCGAUUUUGUAGUAUAAAAACUCGGCGAAUUACCCUAUAAACUGGACGGUACUGAAAAUUUCAAGAAAUUUUCUUCCACGAUGCUCGGACCUUUCGGCAGUCGUUUACGAUAUUACAACACUUGUGACUGCCGUAAUGUAGAAUACUAAAGGAGCGGAAUUAACAGCUCGACGAAUUAACGUGGUAUCGUCUGUUUCAAUUUGCAUAAUCAACGAAUCGAGUAAAGUUCAUCUAAUAGAAAGAUCGGCUGAAUUGAUAAUCAAACUUUCCAAAAAUUAUCCGACAAUAUAUUCCAACUAGAGAAUCAAAAAAAUUGACGUCAAAAUCAAGGUUGGAGUAGGUUCAUUUCCCCAUAGCAAAAAAGACAAACAAAGAGAUCGCGAGUUUGGAUAAACAAUGUUGUAUGAAAUUACGCAGGUCCAGAAUAAUGCGAAAACCAGGUACGAUGUAAAUCGUAUCGCGUGCUUUUAAUAAUGUACAAUCAUUUUUCGCCGAUCGGAAGCGCGGCGCGUUUUAGCGAGAGACGAACACAUGCCAAUCCGCAUUUCCUUGGAGAUUCAUAUAUAUACGUGUCGUUCUCUGUCUGACGGGUUUGAAAAAAAUCGAAUCCGAAAAGCCGUUGGAACGAACCGGACUUUGAUUCGAGAAUUCACGAUGCGUACUCCGAGCGGCCGACAAACAGGCGGCUCGAUAUUCCGUUACCUCCAACGUUUCCGCGGCAAGGCAUGUAUUAUACCCGAGUAAGGAAUUUCCUCUCGCUGCCAGCUCGAAAUUUUCGUCAAAUUACGAAGCGGCGCGCGUUCGCCUGACGUAAGCUUGGCAACGGCGCUUUCAUCAAACUGCCUAACGCUCUGCUCGGUUCCUGCUCUUCUACCACCACCGGCUGCAUCGGUCGGCUAGCCGUCAGGAUCGGGAGGAGAGGCGGUUUCACGGAACAAGAGGAGAGGUAGAAAAGAGACGAGAGAAAAGUGGGGAAUGAAAGAGAGAAAAAGAGACAGACACAAAGCCGGAUAGGAACCUUGGGAGAUUCGAAAUAUUUCCAAAAUUCGCCGGAGGGAAAAAGUGGAAUGGAAAAAAAAAAACC